AGAGUUUGAUCAUGGCUCAGAUUGAACGCUGGCGGCAGGCCUAACACAUGCAAGUCGAGCGGUAGCACAGAGAGCUUGCUCUCGGGUGACGAGCGGCGGACGGGUGAGUAAUGUCUGGGAAACUGCCUGAUGGAGGGGGAUAACUACUGGAAACGGUAGCUAAUACCGCAUAAUGUCGCAAGACCAAAGUGGGGGACCUUCGGGCCUCAUGCCAUCAGAUGUGCCCAGAUGGGAUUAGCUAGUAGGUGGGGUAACGGCUCACCUAGGCGACGAUCCCUAGCUGGUCUGAGAGGAUGACCAGCCACACUGGAACUGAGACACGGUCCAGACUCCUACGGGAGGCAGCAGUGGGGAAUAUUGCACAAUGGGCGCAAGCCUGAUGCAGCCAUGCCGCGUGUGUGAAGAAGGCCUUCGGGUUGUAAAGCACUUUCAGCGGGGAGGAAGGCGUUAAGGUUAAUAACCUUGUCGAUUGACGUUACCCGCAGAAGAAGCACCGGCUAACUCCGUGCCAGCAGCCGCGGUAAUACGGAGGGUGCAAGCGUUAAUCGGAAUUACUGGGCGUAAAGCGCACGCAGGCGGUCUGUCAAGUCGGAUGUGAAAUCCCCGGGCUCAACCUGGGAACUGCAUUCGAAACUGGCAGGCUAGAGUCUUGUAGAGGGGGGUAGAAUUCCAGGUGUAGCGGUGAAAUGCGUAGAGAUCUGGAGGAAUACCGGUGGCGAAGGCGGCCCCCUGGACAAAGACUGACGCUCAGGUGCGAAAGCGUGGGGAGCAAACAGGAUUAGAUACCCUGGUAGUCCACGCCGUAAACGAUGUCGAUUUGGAGGUUGUGCCCUUGAGGCGUGGCUUCCGGAGCUAACGCGUUAAAUCGACCGCCUGGGGAGUACGGCCGCAAGGUUAAAACUCAAAUGAAUUGACGGGGGCCCGCACAAGCGGUGGAGCAUGUGGUUUAAUUCGAUGCAACGCGAAGAACCUUACCUGGUCUUGACAUCCACAGAACUUUCCAGAGAUGGAUUGGUGCCUUCGGGAACUGUGAGACAGGUGCUGCAUGGCUGUCGUCAGCUCGUGUUGUGAAAUGUUGGGUUAAGUCCCGCAACGAGCGCAACCCUUAUCCUUUGUUGCCAGCGGUUAGGCCGGGAACUCAAAGGAGACUGCCAGUGAUAAACUGGAGGAAGGUGGGGAUGACGUCAAGUCAUCAUGGCCCUUACGACCAGGGCUACACACGUGCUACAAUGGCAUAUACAAAGAGAAGCGACCUCGCGAGAGCAAGCGGACCUCAUAAAGUAUGUCGUAGUCCGGAUUGGAGUCUGCAACUCGACUCCAUGAAGUCGGAAUCGCUAGUAAUCGUAGAUCAGAAUGCUACGGUGAAUACGUUCCCGGGCCUUGUACACACCGCCCGUCACACCAUGGGAGUGGGUUGCAAAAGAAGUAGGUAGCUUAACCUUCGGGAGGGCGCUUACCACUUUGUGAUUCAUGACUGGGGUGAAGUCGUAACAAGGUAACCGUAGGGGAACCUGCGGUUGGAUCACCU
rnacentral:rRNA from 3 species